GACUGCUCCGCUGGCCUAGUGGUUAGAGCGCUCGCCUCGUAUGCGGGAGGUCACGGUUUCAAUUCUGGCCAAGUCA